rnacentral:rRNA from 1 species
UACGAAGGGUGCAAACGUUGCUCGGAAUUAUUGGGCGUAAAGCGCACGUAGGCGGCUUUGCAAGUCCCAUGUGAAAUCCCACGGCUCAACCGUGGAAGUGCAUGGGAAACUGCAGAGCUUGAGUACUUAAGAGGAUCGCGGAAUUCCCGGUGUAGAGGUGAAAUUCGUAGAUAUCUGGAGGAAUACCGGUGGCGAAGGCGGCAUCCUGGACCGGCAUUGACGCUGAGGAGCGAAAGCCAGGGGAGCAAACGGG